GGAGCUUGCUCCCGGAUGUUAGCGGCGGACGGGUGAGUAACACGUGGGUAACCUGCCUGUAAGACUGGGAUAACUCCGGGAAACCGGAGCUAAUACCGGAUAGUUCCUUGAACCGCAUGGUUCAAGGAUGAAAGACGGUUUCGGCUGUCACUUACAGAUGGACCCGCGGCGCAUUAGCUAGUUGGUGGGGUAAUGGCUCACCAAGGCGACGAUGCGUAGCCGACCUGAGAGGGUGAUCGGCCACACUGGGACUGAAACACGGCCCAGACUCCUACGGGAGGCAGCAGUAGGGAAUCUUCCGCAAUGGACGAAAGUCUGACGGAGCAACGCCGCGUGAGUGAUGAAGGUUUUCGGAUCGUAAAGCUCUGUUGUUAGGGAAGAACAAGUGCGAGAGUAACUGCUCGCACCUUGACGGUACCUAACCAGAAAGCCACGGCUAACUACGUGCCAGCAGCCGCGGUAAUACGUAGGUGGCAAGCGUUGUCCGGAAUUAUUGGGCGUAAAGGGCUCGCAGGCGGUUUCUUAAGUCUGAUGUGAAAGCCCCCGGCUCAACCGGGGAGGGUCAUUGGAAACUGGGAAACUUGAGUGCAGAAGAGGAGAGUGGAAUUCCACGUGUAGCGGUGAAAUGCGUAGAGAUGU
rnacentral:rRNA from 1 species